AGAUAAGCUCUCCUCUGCACCACUCUCCUCCCACCAUCCUAUUAGGCCUUGGAAUCUUCUCAGUACAGCAUUGGAAUAUCCUUAAGUCGAAGGACCAAGGCACUUCUUCAGUGCUCAUUACCCAGAUACCAAACUUCCCAUAAUCAUCGGAAACUCUCCAUGCUCGUUUCCCAGUAUUGCAUUCCAACAAGUUCCAAGACCUCAAGGAGAGGAAUCCAGUCGUCCCCCCCACCCCACCACCAACCUGUCCCAGGAAAAGAAUACACUCCAGAUAAGUAAACUCUGGGCUACCCUCUGCUUCCCAC